AAGAUUUUAAUAGUCGAACAGACUAAAUAUCUUAUAAUUUCUUCAUUAUUAAUUUAUCUUAAUUCAACAUCGAGGUCGCAAUCUUUUUUAUCAAUAAGAGCUUUCCAAAAAAAUUACG
rnacentral:rRNA from 1 species